AAGAUAAUCAGAAAUGGGUGGUGCGUCAUGCUGAAUCAUCUCUUUUUUUUAAAGAAGACGAACUUGUUGGGAUUGAAAAGAAAAGGCAAUCGUUAAUGAAAUGGUUGAUGGAUGGAGAACCACAUCUGACUGUCAUUUCGAUAGUUGGGAUGGGAGGUUCAGGCAAGACCACACUAGCUGCCAACACCUACAAUAAUGAUGAUGUAAAGAAACAUUUCGACUGUUGUGCAUGGAUCACAAUUUCCCAAGCAUACGAAUUAGAAGACGUAUUAAGGAGCUUGAUUAUGGAAUUCCACGAGUCAAGGAAGGAAACAAAUCCAGCAGACUUGAAUUCCAUGAGCUACAGACUGUUAGUAAAAACACUGGUGAAUUAUUUAGGGGAGAAAAGGUAUCUACUUGUCCUAGAUGAUGUUUGGGACACAAAUCUCUUGGAUGAAAUAAAGGUAUCACUUCGAGAUAGUUGUCUUGGGAGUAGAAUCAUCCUUACAACUCGAAAAGAAGAUGUAGCUUGCUAUCAUUUGGGAGGUAAACAUCAUAUUCAUCAUAUUCAGUUGCUGCAAAACGAAGAGGCAUGGGAGCUCUUUUGCAAGAAAGCAUUCAUAAAUUGUACCAAUGGAAGUUGUCCACUGGAGCUUAAAUCUUUUGCUAGAGAACUUGUGCGAAAAUGCGAAGGCCUACCUCUUGCAAUUGCGGCUUUGGUAGUCUUAUGUACUCCAAGAAUAUGUUUGAGUGGAACGAAAUUUACAACAGCUUGAAUUGGAGUCUAAGUAAAAAUCCUAAGCUAGAAGCAGUGAAGAGCAUUUUGUUGCUUAGUUUCAACGAUUUACCAUAUCAAUUGAAGCAUUGUUUCCUAUAUUGCUCUCUUUUCCCAGAAGAUCAUGAGAUUCGAAGAAAGAGGCUCAUAAAGCUAUGGAUGGCAGAAGGAUUUGUAGAACAAGAUAAAAGGUCCAUGCCAGAGGAAGUAGCAGAGAGCUACCUAUUAGAACUCAUUUUUCGAAGCAUGCUUCAAGUUGUAAAAAGGAAUGACUCUGGAAGGCCAAAGAGAUGUAAAAUGCAUGAUAUUCUGCGGGAGCUUGCUCUAUCAAUAUCAGAGAGAGAGAAGAUUGGUGUUGUACAUGUUAGAAGAGAAGAAAUGACAGAAUGCGAAGCACGCCGCAUUUCAAUUCACAAAACUGAUGGAGAAGUCAAAUCAUUUACGAGGAUGCCAAAGCUCCGUUCUUUUCUUGUUUUUAACAAGAUGUUGAAAACAUUGCCUUUUGGAAGUAAAAUGUUAAGGGUCCUAGAUUUGGAAGAUGCCCCUAUUGAUGACUUGCCUGAUGAACUAUUCAAAUUAUUUAACUUAAGAUAUUUGAAUUUAAGGGGAACCUUAGUUAAGGAGCUUCCAAAAUCUGUAGGGCGGCUCCGAAACCUUCAAACCUUGGACAUCCGAGACACAAAACUAGAGGUCCUUCCUUGUGAAAUAGGAGAGUUGCAAAACUUGCGGCAUCUAAUUCUACACCAAUUCACUGGAAAUUGGAAUGAUUUCAAAAUUUGUACUGGGCCGCGAAUACCAUCAAAUAUCUGUAGAUUAAAAAAUUUGCAAGUUGUGACAUAUUUAGAAAUAACAGGUGACUUGUUGAAACAGAUUCGGAGCAUGACUCAGCUUACCACGAUCGCUCUUUCAAAUGUGAAAGCAGCAGAUGAGAUGGACUUAUGUGAUUCAAUUCAUAACAUGAAGCUUAUGCGCUACUUGUGUAUCGUGGUUACAAAUGCGGAGGAAACCCUCCGUAUGGAUGCACUUUCAUCUCCUCCUACCAACCUUCAAAAGCUUGUUUUGGUUGGAAAACUAGAAAAGGUGCCACAGUGGUUUCAUUCACUUCAAAGCCUCACAUAUUUGUAUCUGCAUUGGUCGAGACUGGAAGAAGAUUUACUCCCUCACAUUGCUGCUUUGCCCCAUUUGGGACAUCUUUCACUUUUUUAUGUCUAUGUUGGAAAACAGCUAUGUUUCAGUACAGGCUUUCUUAAGCUUACAAAAUUGAGAAUUUGUAAUUUCCCUCAAUUGAAUGAGAUAAUAAUAGAAAAGGGGGUGAUGCCAAAUCUGAAAUCCCUAGAGAUUUACAGCUGCAUGGAGUUAAAGGCAGCGCCAAAGGGCAUUGAAAACCUACAAAAUCUCCAACUACUGCAUUUGCAAUCUGUCUCAAUGGAACUUCAAAAUCGCAUUCACAGCGUGGAUUUUCCAAAGGUUCAGCACAUCCCAAAGAUCUACAUCUUGUAGUAAUUCAAAAUGUUUCACGAAGUGUUGCAAUGCAUCUCAAAGAUCUACAUUUGGUAGUAAUUCGAGAAUGUUUCAUGAAGAAUGAUGCUGAAGAUUAUGAGUUUGCCUUGUUUGCUUCAAAAGGAUUCUGUUUUGUUUGGAGCUCUAAUUCUAAGUAUUGUUUGGGUAUUCUAGUUAUUGUUCAAUAAAUUAAUACUCAAGACUUUGUUUCUUAUUUGCCUGUAAUAAAUGUAAAAGUUUGAACUCCAAGAUGCCUUUGUGGUAGUUUGUUGGAAGAUUGUCACUGGUUCAACCAUGGAUUGUAAUUUGUAUGUAAUUUAGCUUGUGUAAACCAUUAACAUCUGUGUGAAUUGUUUUCUAUUGUUUCUGAGUUUUA